rnacentral:rRNA from 1 species
UACGUAGGGGGCAAGCGUUGUCCGGAUUUAUUGGGCGUAAAGAGCGUGUAGGCGGCCAUGCAGGUCAGCUGUGAAAACUCGAGGCUCAACCUCGAGACGUCGGUUGAAACCGCAUGGCUAGAGUCCGGAAGAGGAGAGUGGAAUUCCCGGUGUAGCGGUGAAAUGCGCAGAUAUCGGGAAGAACACCUAUGGCGAAGGCAGCUCUCUGGGACGGUACUGACGCUGAGACGCGAAAGCGUGGGGAGCAAACAGG